CAAGUCGAACGAGAAAGUGGAGCAAUCCAUGAGUACAGUGGCGUACGGGUGAGUAACACGUGGAUGAUCUACCUUUUAGUGGGGAAUAACUCUGGGAAACCGGAGAUAAUACCGCAUAAUCCCGAGAGGGGAAAGCAGCAAUGCGCUGAAAGAGGAGUCCGCGGCCGAUUAGCUAGUUGGCAGGGUAAAAGCCUACCAAGGCAAAGAUCGGUAGCCGGCCUGAGAGGGCACACGGCCACACUGGCACUGAAACACGGGCCAGACUCCUACGGGAGGCAGCAGUGGGGAAUCUUGCACAAUGGGGGAAACCCUGAUGCAGCGACGCCGCGUGAGUGAUGAAGCCCUUCGGGGUGUAAAGCUCUUUCGGCAGGGAAGAUGAUGACGGUACCUGCAGAAGCAGCUGCGGCUAACUACGUGCCAGCAGCCGCGGUAAUACGUAGGCAGCAAGCGUUGUUCGGAGUUACUGGGCGUAAAGGGUGUGUAGGCGGUUAUUUAAGUUUGGUGUGAAAUCUCCCGGCUCAACCGGGAGGGUGCGCCGAAUACUGAAUGACUUGGAGUGCGGGAGAGGAAAGUGGAAUUCCUGGUGUAGCGGUGAAAUGCGUAGAUAUCAGGAGGAACACCGGUGGUGUAGACGGCUUUCUGGACCGUAACUGACGCUGAGACGCGAAAGCGUGGGUAGCAAACAGGAUUAGAUACCCUGGUAGUCCACGCCCUAAACGAUGCAUAUUUGGUGUGGGCAGUUCAUUCUGUCCGUGCCGGAGCUAACGCGUUAAAUAUGCCGCCUGGGGAGUACAGUCGCAAGGCUGAAACUCAAAGGAAUUGACGGGGGCCCGCACAAGCGGUGGAGCAUGUGGUUCAAUUCGACGCAACGCGAAGAACCUUACCUGGGCUCGAACGGCU
rnacentral:rRNA from 1 species